rnacentral:rRNA from 1 species
UACGUAGGGGGCAAGCGUUGUCCGGAUUUAUUGGGCGUAAAGAGCGUGUAGGCGGCCAUGUAGGUCCGUUGUGAAAACUCGAGGCUCAACCUCGAGACGCCGAUGGAAACCAUGCGGCUAGAGUCCGGAAGAGGAGAGUGGAAUUCCUGGUGUAGCGGUGAAAUGCGUAGAUAUCGUAAGGAAGACCAGUGGCGAAGGCGGGUCUCUGGACAGUUCCUGACGCUGAGGCACGAAGGCCAGGGGAGCAAACGGG